ACCCACUAAGACCAUCCACAUUGACCUAUGCAUAUGCAUAAGCAAAGCCACUUUUACAUAAUAUUAACAUAAAAUGAGCUGCAUUGGAUUCUCUAUCUAUAAAAAUUUAGCUAACUAUAAACAGUGUAUUUACAAUUUUUCAUAUCUACUAUUUACUCUCCAAGUUAUAUUUUAAUCAUUAUUUCUCUCUCCUCCCACACUCUCUCUCCCCGACGCCCCCCCCAAACGGGAUUAUUUCUGCAGCUCUCUCCACACGGUUUCUCCUCUCCGAAUCUCCAUCCCUCUCUCGACCCAAACAACCCCAUCGGAAGAAACGAAUCCGUGCAUCUCUCUCUCACGAUGGUUGUCGACGGAGCCUGCGUCUGCUUUGGGAAUCAUCACAGUUGCUGUUUUUUGAAUUUUUUGCUAUUUCAGGUAUGAUUUCUCCCUUUCUCUUCACGAUUUCGGUUAGGAUUUUAGAUUAGUAAAAGUGUUUUUGUUUUUUUGUUGCCAUUUCUUCAUUUCAUGUUGUUCUUGGUUUUAGAUUAGGGUUUCUGAUUUUCAGAUCUCAUGGAAUCAAUUUUCUGUUCUUGCCCACUAUUAUAGAAAGAAAGAAAGAGUAAACACAAGUAAGAAAAAAGGUGGAAAUGAUGGUCAGGAUAUGAGUUCAAGAAAGAUACUUACAGGCCACUUAAAAUUAUAGCAAAUAGGGCCGUUAUUAUUUCACCACCAUGAGCUUUUUCAUGAGUAAUUAGGAACCUUUCAACCCACAGUUGUAAGGCACAAGAACACAUGGCAAGCCCAUACGUAAAUCCAAGACCAAGUCCUUGCACAAGGCUUAUUAAUAUACCAUAUCUUAGAGUUGCUUGUAGUGAUGUUGCGUAAGAAUACUUGGCCAAUGUUUCAUUUGUAAAUGCAUACAAUGUCCUAAUAUAGGAGACUGCCUACAUUUUAAGAAACUAUUCAUGCUUCAGAAUCACUGGAAUUAAUUACUUCACAAAAAUGACCACAAGCAUAAUUCAAAAAUUGUUGCUAUAUUUAAACUAUUUACCUGUCACUUUGUAAAAGAAUAUAUAUAUAUAUACUAUACAAGUACACAUGUUGUAUAUAAGAGAAUACCCAUCUAGAAAGCAGAAAAGAUACAAGAAAAUCAUGUAAGUUCAGCCCAAUAAAGUCUAUAAAAGUAGCCAAAAUGAGUAGUCUUGAGCUCCUGCACAGUCCAUUCACUCUCCCAAAAAUUUUAAUUUUUCUUUCUAUCAAAUACAGCAUAUGAGAUAAGUAAGAACCAUUUUCCGCACUGCUCUAAUUUUCUGAGCUUCCACCUAAGCCUCCCCUAAAGUAAAAAAGAUCCAUUAUUUUACUUUAAAAAAAAAAGAUCCACUAUUCUGUUAAGGAGUAAACAAUCUAGGUAGUAGGAACCCAUCAGUAUGUCAUGCUUUGAUAAUGCAAAGAUUCCUCAAACUGAGGUAGGAAGACUUGAUUUGUCAUGAUGUGGGGGCUUUGAUUUGGUGGGAGGGAACUUUAUGUAUACUUUUUACUUGGAACACCCCACCUUCCUUUUGACCACUAUGCAAGUUGAUUUUGAUGUAGAGAGAUUCCAAACUCACUCUUGAGUAUUUAUAUGUUCAUUAAUUCUAUUUCUAUGGGUGGGGAGGUUGGAGGAAGUAAAGAAAAUGAUGGUUGACAUGAUGUAUUUAAUGCAAGACUAUGAAAGAUGACAUAAAGUUGGUUUAUAUAAUUAAGGAAUGGCCCAAAGAUUGAAAUGCCAUAAACUCUUUCAACAAUCAAACAGAACAUUAUAAUUGGGAGACUUACUCGAGAAAACUGCAUCACACAACAAACUUCCCCCAAAAGAAAAGGGGAAAUAAAAACCACGUCUUUGACAGGAUUCAUGUCUAAUACCAGGUACCAAGACCCAGUACCUAAUAAAAUCUGGCCAUCCACUCCAUGCACCAUUGGAGCAUAUAUGCAAGUUGGACCAUCAAUGGCCCCAGUGACUUUGACUUCAAACUGUGUGUACUCAAAAGAAAAGAAAUAUUACAUUACAUUUAUGUGUUAAUGUGCAUCUCUACCUGGUACAGACCUCUCUUAGGCAGAACCCAAGACAAACCAACACGACCGAAAAAAAAGAUCCACUAUUUUAUCUUGUUGCAUCCAAGUGAAGGGAAACAUAAUUUUGAUCUUGUUGCAUCCAGCUUUUAGAUUUUUAUUAGAAAAAUUGCAAGAAAAAUGGAUGAUUUUUACCACUUCUGAACAAAUACUAUGCCUAAAGUAUACAUUGAAUUCAAUGGAAAUCUAAACUGUCUACAUGCACAAAAGUUUAAUACUUGUACAUCACCAACAGUGGAUAAAUGCUUUCAUACUAAGGAUUAACAUGUUUGGAGUUAGAUAAAUAUGUUUGGAAUCUUGUGGAUUAACAUGGUUGCAUUUAUAUCCGGUAUUUAUGUCCUGUUUUAAUUGCAUAUAGAUAAAUCUGCACAUCAUCAUUAAACUCAUAAAAAUUGCAUUUAGAUAAAUCUGUACAUCAUCUUAAAAACUACAUAAUCUGAAUUUUGUAAACAUGUUAGCCUUGCUUUACCUCAAAACAUGUAUUGGGUAUGAGUUUAAUGAUUUUUUUAAACAUGUUGGCCUUGUUUUGCUUAAUAUGUGUUGUUUUAGUAACAUUUUGUCUUUCAAUGUUGAAGGAUGAACACUUUAAUUGAUGAGGAUCCCUUCUUCACCACAUUGUUAGAAAGUGGUGAGGGUGGUAUAAACAACCCUACUGUGGAUGCUGCUUUCAUUGAUGUCCAAGUGACACAACCCUAACGAAAAAAAAGCAAACCUAAACAUAAAUCCCAGCGGGGUGUGUCAUUUACUAUUGAGGAAGAUACUCUCCUCAUUUCAGCUUGGCUUAAUGUUAGUAUAGAUUCCAUACGGGGAACUGACCAAACCUCCACACAAUUGUGGAGUAGAAUUUAUGAUUACUACUCCACUUAUAAAAAAUCUAAUAGUCAAGAAUGAUUUGUACUCUCUUUGAUCAAUCGGUGGUCAACCAUUCAAAAAUGUGUCAAUAAAUUUUGUGGUUCUAUGGCUCAAGUUGAAGGAAUGCAUCCAAGCGGUGUAAUCGAGUUAGGCAAGAUUGACAAGGCAAAAAUUUGUACUGAGAGACCCUAAAAACCAACUUCACCUUGGAUCAUUGUUGGAAUCUUUUAAGGAACCAACUGAAAUGACAAACACACAUGGAGACCAUAAGAAGAAGAGACAAUGUCUCGUGUUCAGGUAGUACUCCAAACUCAAUAUAAUUAGAGGACCCAAUGGAAAAUGUGUCCGUGGAGUGUGAGAGACCUCAAAGGAAAAAAGCUGGAAAAAAAAAAAGAGAGAGAAAAAAAAAGUAAGAAAAGAUAAGAUAAAGAAUUUAGUGACGCCUUAAGGGAAAUGACAGAUGAUAGGAAGAUUUUACUAUUGGAGAGAAAAGAAAGCAUAAUGAGGUUAGAAAACCGCAAUUUUGAGUUAUUGGCUAUUAAGAAGAAAAAUGUUGAAAUGGAAAUCAAGGCUUAAGAUCAAAGAUCUAUAAUAUUAGCUGAAAAGAAGAGGAAAAAUGAUAUGGAAAUAAUGAAAUUGGAUAUUGGUUUCAUGAAUUAUGUGCAGCAAGAGUAUUUCCAUAAUCUUCAAAUGGAAAUUAUUGAGGAACAAAGAAAUAAGGUCAUAUCUUGUACAUAGUUGUAUGCUUUGUUUUGUGCAGUUUUUGAUAUAUAUUUUUUUACUGUGGUGACAUGUUUUAGAUAUUUAUAUACUGCUAGUUGUUAUGAAUAGCAAACCCUUUUUUGUACCUCUAUAUGGGCCUUUUAUUUUGUUGGUAGUUGGUGGUGGGUGAGAACAUUUUGUUGGGUGAAUUUUGUUGUUGGUGUGAUAUUGUUGUACUGCUUGUUGCUUAAUGGUGCUGGAGCCGUUGGAGGAUCCAAUGGAAAGGCUGUUUUUUGUUGCUGCUAAAGGGUGCUGGAGCCACGGGAGGACUUGUUGGUGGUUGCUGGUUGCUGAAAUUGUUGGUUGCUGAUUUGGUUGCUGCUAAAGUGAAUUUGUAUUGUAAUGAAUUUCUAUCAAAAUCAACUUUUUCAAACUUGUAUUAAGUUGAUUUUGAUACAUAAAAUUAGUCAUAUGUAAGUUCUGAAGUUGAUAUUAGUCUCAUUGCUUAAUCUGAGUACAUGUUAAUAUAUGUUGUUUGGUGU